rnacentral:rRNA from 1 species
UACCAGCACCCCCGAGUGGUCGGGACGUUUAUUGGGCCUAAAGCAUCCGUAGCCGGUUCUACAAGUCUUCCGUUAAAUCCAACUGCAUAACAGGUGGGCUGCGGAAGAUACUAUAGAGCUAGGAGGCGGGAGAGGCAAGCGGUACUCGAUGGGUAGGGGUAAAAUCCGUUGAUCCAUUGAAGACCACCAGUGGCGAAGGCGGCUUGCCAGAACGCGCUCGACGGUGAGGGAUGAAAGCUGGGGGAGCAAACCGG